ensembl:lncRNA
GCAAAGUGAGAUGAUUUGCUUGGCUGCAGCUGAAGUGGUUGUCUCAUUUGGGAAAGCUGAGCUGUCUGUUUAUUGGGCUCUUCCUAAGACUGGUUACCCUGCCAGGCCCAAUCCUCCAACCCCAAGGAUGCCAGGGGAAACAGGCACAGUGCCACUGCGUAUCUCUUGGGAGAAAGAAGCCACUCUCCCAGGCAUGGACUUCACAGCCUUCUCUUUAGGCUGAUUGGGCCAGCUUACAACCUGUGUCCACACCGGAGCUACAGCGGUUAAAAGGAAUGAAGCUGCAGGAAGAAAGAGGCUCCAUGUGUGGUAUGGAUGUCAACAGAGCUGCCCUGAGGGAGAUGCCUUCCUUGUUAGUUGACUCUGUGGUGUGGUUCUGGGCAUUGUUCCUGGACACUCAGCUCCAAUCCAUUUCUCAAGACCACAGGCCAUUCAAUCAACUACUCACUAAUCUUUAUUAAAUUUCCUUU